rnacentral:rRNA from 1 species
UACGUAGGGGCCGAGCGUUGUCCGGAGUUAUUGGGCGUAAAGCGCGCGCAGGCGGCCUCGCGCGCCCGACGUGAAAGCCCCCGGCUUAACCGGGGAGGGUCGUUGGGGACGGCGGGGCUUGAGGGCGGGAGAGGGUGGUGGAAUUCCUGGUGUAGCGGUGAAAUGCGCAGAUAUCAGGAGGAACACCGGUGGCGAAGGCGGGUCUCUGGGCCGAUACUGACGCUGAGGAGCGAAAGCGUGGGGAGCGAACAGG